CUUUUGAUAUUCACAAAUGAUAGGUAGGUACAUUGUUUAUGCUUCUGAUGAUAUCAAACCAGAGGGUAAGAAAAGCAAACAUGGAUAGCUUAAGAAGAAGUAUCAUUUGGUAGAGUCAGAUGUUGAUGGUGAUGGCAAUAGUAUUAUUCAAACAGUUUUGGAACCUAACAAUAUUCUUUAAGAUAGCCAGACGCAUAGGGAAGAGGCUCUGUCGGACAAAAAGAAAGAUGUCGGGGAUGUUAAAAAUUC